AGGGCUGUAGUUCAGUGCUAAAACCUCAGCUUUCCAUGCAGAGGGUUCCAGGUUUAAUCCUUGGCAUCUCUG